AAGUGGUAGAGCGGUCUCUGCUUGGGAGGGAAAAAGCCAUGAGGAGUCUGGAGAGAAGGGACAGCCAAUAAACAAAAGGAAUGCAAGCAGGACAAUAAGUUGAGUUAUGAAUGCCAGACACUUGGAUGGCACGGGAGGAUUUGGCUGUAAACACCAGGUAGUUUGUGGAGGCUCCUCGUUCCAGUUUGAUUGUUUCUUCCAGUCAGAUGGAAACAAGAUGAAACUUUGGAAGACUCAAGUGGUGUUGAAUAGCAAAGCAGGGCAGGAGCACUGCCCAGAGGAGACACCAUGGGAGGUGCCCUGGAAUGGGAAGAUGAA